UACGUAGGGUGCAAGCGUUGUCCGGAAUUAUGGGGCGUAAAGAGCUCGUAGGCGGUCUGUUGCGUCGGCUGUGAAAACCCGGGGCUCAACUCCGGGCCUGCAGCCGAUACGGGCAGACUAGAGUUCGGCAGGGGAGACUGGAAUUCCUGGUGUAGCGGUGAAAUGCGCAGAUAUCAGGAGGAACACCGGUGGCGAAGGCGGGUCUCUGGGCCGAUACUGACGCUGAGGAGCGAAAGCGUGGGGAGCGAACAGG
rnacentral:rRNA from 1 species